GGGCGGGUAGCGCAGUGGUCAGCGCAUCCCCUGAGCGUGUUUAAAAUCAGCGUUGCUUUCUAUUCCAGAUCCAUCUUUCCUUAUCAAAGCGUUCAUUGGAAGACCUGGGUUCGACUCCCAGCCCGCCCA